rnacentral:lncRNA from 1 species
CUUGCCAGCACCUGGUUGUUGCGCGUGUUACCGGCACAAAAACCUCUCCACAGAAGAGCCCUGAGGACAACAGGCUGUAUCAAAGAGGUUGACCAGCCUGGGUCCUGGCGCCAGGGACCUGAAGCAAGGAUCCUGACUGAUGCGUGUUUACUACGACCUGACUUAUUGAGGAGAACAAGGACUUCUCUGAAGGCCUGUCCCCUCAAAGCAGCAGGCAGGACAAGCUUGGCUAGAAAGAGAUACAUGGGACACACAGACAAUUAAAGACUAGAAUAGACACUGUGCUUCAAGUCCCAAGAUUUGUGAAGGAGGAUUUG